rnacentral:misc_RNA from 1 species
CAGAGCUCGUGCCCUUCGGGGUAGAUCUCCCACCCUUGUGUACUAUCAUUAAACGUUGCUUUGGCGCGCCGUACGCACAGCUUACCCGGGGAUCCUCCGGUGUGCGCGCCAGAGGACCCCUAAACUCUGAAUGUCAGUGUCGUCCGAGUACUAUGUAAUAGUUA